GGGUUGUGAGGUUAAGCGACUAAGCGUACACGGUGGAUGCCCUGGCAGUCAGAGGCGAUGAAGGACGUGCUAAUCUGCGAUAAGCGUCGGUAAGGUGAUAUGAACCGUUAUAACCGGCGAUUUCCGAAUGGGGAAACCCAGUGUGAUUCGUCACACUAUCAUUAACUGAAUCCAUAGGUUAAUGAGGCGAACCGGGGGAACUGAAACAUCUAAGUACCCCGAGGAAAAGAAAUCAACCGAGAUUCCCCCAGUAGCGGCGAGCGAACGGGGAGCAGCCCAGAGCCUGAAUCAGUGUGUGUGUUAGUGGAAGCGUCUGGAAAGGCGCGCGAUACAGGGUGACAGCCCCGUACACAAAAAUGCACAUGCUGUGAGCUCGAUGAGUAGGGCGGGACACGUGGUAUCCUGUCUGAAUAUGGGGGGACCAUCCUCCAAGGCUAAAUACUCCUGACUGACCGAUAGUGAACCAGUACCGUGAGGGAAAGGCGAAAAGAACCCCGGCGAGGGGAGUGAAAAAGAACCUGAAACCGUGUACGUACAAGCAGUGGGAGCCUCUUUUAUGGGGUGACUGCGUACCUUUUGUAUAAUGGGUCAGCGACUUAUAUUCUGUAGCAAGGUUAACCGAAUAGGGGAGCCGAAGGGAAACCGAGUCUUAACUGGGCGUUAAGUUGCAGGGUAUAGACCCGAAACCCGGUGAUCUAGCCAUGGGCAGGUUGAAGGUUGGGUAACACUAACUGGAGGACCGAACCGACUAAUGUUGAAAAAUUAGCGGAUGACUUGUGGCUGGGGGUGAAAGGCCAAUCAAACCGGGAGAUAGCUGGUUCUCCCCGAAAGCUAUUUAGGUAGCGCCUCGUGAAUUCAUCUCCGGGGGUAGAGCACUGUUUCGGCAAGGGGGUCAUCCCGACUUACCAACCCGAUGCAAACUGCGAAUACCGGAGAAUGUUAUCACGGGAGACACACGGCGGGUGCUAACGUCCGUCGUGAAGAGGGAAACAACCCAGACCGCCAGCUAAGGUCCCAAAGUCAUGGUUAAGUGGGAAACGAUGUGGGAAGGCCCAGACAGCCAGGAUGUUGGCUUAGAAGCAGCCAUCAUUUAAAGAAAGCGUAAUAGCUCACUGGUCGAGUCGGCCUGCGCGGAAGAUGUAACGGGGCUAAACCAUGCACCGAAGCUGCGGCAGCGACACUGUGUGUUGUUGGGUAGGGGAGCGUUCUGUAAGCCUGUGAAGGUGUACUGUGAGGUAUGCUGGAGGUAUCAGAAGUGCGAAUGCUGACAUAAGUAACGAUAAAGCGGGUGAAAAGCCCGCUCGCCGGAAGACCAAGGGUUCCUGUCCAACGUUAAUCGGGGCAGGGUGAGUCGACCCCUAAGGCGAGGCCGAAAGGCGUAGUCGAUGGGAAACAGGUUAAUAUUCCUGUACUUGGUGUUACUGCGAAGGGGGGACGGAGAAGGCUAUGUUGGCCGGGCGACGGUUGUCCCGGUUUAAGCGUGUAGGCUGGUUUUCCAGGCAAAUCCGGAAAAUCAAGGCUGAGGCGUGAUGACGAGGCACUACGGUGCUGAAGCAACAAAUGCCCUGCUUCCAGGAAAAGCCUCUAAGCAUCAGGUAACAUCAAAUCGUACCCCAAACCGACACAGGUGGUCAGGUAGAGAAUACCAAGGCGCUUGAGAGAACUCGGGUGAAGGAACUAGGCAAAAUGGUGCCGUAACUUCGGGAGAAGGCACGCUGAUAUGUAGGUGAAGCGACUUGCUCGUGGAGCUGAAAUCAGUCGAAGAUACCAGCUGGCUGCAACUGUUUAUUAAAAACACAGCACUGUGCAAACACGAAAGUGGACGUAUACGGUGUGACGCCUGCCCGGUGCCGGAAGGUUAAUUGAUGGGGUCAGCGCAAGCGAAGCUCUUGAUCGAAGCCCCGGUAAACGGCGGCCGUAACUAUAACGGUCCUAAGGUAGCGAAAUUCCUUGUCGGGUAAGUUCCGACCUGCACGAAUGGCGUAAUGAUGGCCAGGCUGUCUCCACCCGAGACUCAGUGAAAUUGAACUCGCUGUGAAGAUGCAGUGUACCCGCGGCAAGACGGAAAGACCCCGUGAACCUUUACUAUAGCUUGACACUGAACAUUGAGCCUUGAUGUGUAGGAUAGGUGGGAGGCUUAGAAGUGUGGACGCCAGUCUGCAUGGAGCCGACCUUGAAAUACCACCCUUUAAUGUUUGAUGUUCUAACGUUGACCCGUGAUCCGGGUUGCGGACAGUGUCUGGUGGGUAGUUUGACUGGGGCGGUCUCCUCCUAAAGAGUAACGGAGGAGCACGAAGGUUGGCUAAUCCUGGUCGGACAUCAGGAGGUUAGUGCAAUGGCAUAAGCCAGCUUGACUGCGAGCGUGACGGCGCGAGCAGGUGCGAAAGCAGGUCAUAGUGAUCCGGUGGUUCUGAAUGGAAGGGCCAUCGCUCAACGGAUAAAAGGUACUCCGGGGAUAACAGGCUGAUACCGCCCAAGAGUUCAUAUCGACGGCGGUGUUUGGCACCUCGAUGUCGGCUCAUCACAUCCUGGGGCUGAAGUAGGUCCCAAGGGUAUGGCUGUUCGCCAUUUAAAGUGGUACGCGAGCUGGGUUUAGAACGUCGUGAGACAGUUCGGUCCCUAUCUGCCGUGGGCGCUGGAGAACUGAGGGGGGCUGCUCCUAGUACGAGAGGACCGGAGUGGACGCAUCACUGGUGUUCGGGUUGUCAUGCCAAUGGCACUGCCCGGUAGCUAAAUGCGGAAGAGAUAAGUGCUGAAAGCAUCUAAGCACGAAACUUGCCCCGAGAUGAGUUCUCCCUGACUCCUUGAGAGUCCUGAAGGAACGUUGAAGACGACGACGUUGAUAGGCCGGGUGUGUAAGCGCAGCGAUGCGUUGAGCUAACCGGUACUAAUGAACCGUGAGGCUUAACCUUACAACGCCGAAGCUGUU
rnacentral:rRNA from 1 species